rnacentral:rRNA from 1 species
AAUUGAACUCGCUGUGAAGAUGCAGUGUACCCGCGGCAAGACGGAAAGACCCCGUGAACCUUUACUAUAGCUUGACACUGAACAUUGAGCCUUGAUGUGUAGGAUAGGUGGGAGGCUUUGAAGUGUGGACGCCAGUCUGCAUGGAGCCGACCUUGAAAUACCACCCUUUAAUGUUUGAUGUUCUAACGUUGGCCCCUAAUCGGGGUUGCGGACAGUGUCUGGUGGGUAGUUUGACUGGGGCGGUCUCCUCCUAAAGAGUAACGGAGGAGCACGAAGGUUGGCUAAUCCUGGUCGGACAUCAGGAGGUUAGUGCAAUGGCAUAAGCCAGCUUGACUGCGAGCGUGACGGCGCGAGCAGGUGCGAAAGCAGGUCAUAGUGAUCCGGUGGUUCUGAAUGGAAGGGCCAUCGCUCAACGGAUAAAAGGUACUCCGGGGAUAACAGGCUGAUACCGCCCAAGAGUUCAUAUCGACGGCGGUGUUUGGCACCUCGAUGUCGGCUCAUCACAUCCUGGGGCUGAAGUAGGUCCCAAGGGUAUGGCUGUUCGCCAUUUAAAGUGGUACGCGAGCUGGGUUUAGAACGUCGUGAGACAGUUCGGUCCCUAUCUGCCGUGGGCGCUGGAGAACUGAGGGGGGCUGCUCCUAGUACGAGAGGACCGGAGUGGACGCAUCACUGGUGUUCGGGUUGUCAUGCCAAUGGCACUGCCCGGUAGCUAAAUGCGGAAGAGAUAAGUGCUGAAAGCAUCUAAGCACGAAACUUGCCCCGAGAUGAGUUCUCCCUGACUCCCUGAGAGUCCUGAAGGAACGUUGAAGACGACGACGUUGAUAGGCCGGGUGUGUAAGCGCAGCGAUGCGUUGAGCUAACCGGUACUAAUGAACCGUGAGG